CCUACGGGGGGCAGCAGUGGGGAAUAAUGCACAAGGGGCGAAAGCCUGAUGCAGCAACGCCGCGUGAGCGAUGAAGGCCUUCGGGGCGUAAAGCUCUGGCCGCAAGGAAGAGAAUGACGGGACUUGAGGAGGAAGCCCCGGCUAACGACGUGCCAGCAGCCGCGGUAAUACGUAGGGGGCUAGCGUUAUCCGGAAGUACUGGGCGUAAAGGGUGCGUCGGGGGUUUCGUAAGUCAGAGGUUAAAGGCUACGGCUCAACCGUAGGAAGCCUUUGAAACGGGGGAACUUGAGUGCAGGAGAGGCGAGUGGAAUUCCUGGUGUAGCGGUGAAAUGCGUAGAUAUUAGGAGGAACACCAGUUGCGAAGGCGGCUCUCUGGACUGUAACUGACACUGAGGCCCGAAAGCGUGGGGAGCAAACAGGAUUAGAUACCCUAGUAGUC
rnacentral:rRNA from 1 species